rnacentral:tRNA from 1 species
GCAGCCGUGGCCGAGUGGUUACGGCGAUGGACUAGAAAUCCAUUGGGGUCUCCCCGCACAGGUUCGAAUCCUGUCGACUGCG